GGUGGUGGCGGGGGGAUGAUUUCUCUUUGCCGGCUUCUUGGGUUUUCUCCUCGUCUCCCCAGCCUGGGCCAGUACCCCAGGGUGACCUGACCCCGAAGCCCCAGCACCCCAGCCGCAGACCCCCCACCCUGAAAAACCUUAGCUCGCCUCGGCCCUGACCAUCACCCCUGUACAUCCCUCUUCCCUCGUAACCUCUCCAGCACCGGCGGCGAUAAACUGAGGGCCGAGGGACACCCCACCCUCCUCGGGCUGCUGCCCCCAGGGGCAAAGCCUCGGGAAGACUGGCCGGAAAAAAAAAAAUCAAGAACAACACCCCCUUUUCCUGCGGGAAGGGCCCCAGACUCGUGCGAAAGGGCCCCGACUGCCGAGGAGCCCCUCCCGCCCUUGCCUCAUCUUUCCGACUUCCCUGCUUGCCACGUCUCCUUUCCUUCCCAGCAAGGAGCCGAGUGUGGAACCCUCAUCCAUUUCCAGCUGACAGCAGAGCCUAGCCUAUGUGUCUGUGCACAUGAGUGCCUGUGGGACCGGAGGCAUCAGAUCCCCUGGAGCUGUGGUACAGGCUGUUGUGAAGCUACCUGACCUGGGUGCUGAGAAUCAAAUCUUCGUCCUCUGCAAGGACGGGUAAGCUGAAGAGCUGGGCCGAGUGGCAGAGUACACGGAAGCAUAACUGUCCUUCUGAGCUUUGGUCUGGCCUCCCUUGCCGUUAUCGAAACACCCAUGGCCUAGCGCAUGGCUCUUAGUGGCCUGUCUAGAGAGCUUUGCCGAAUGUGCGGAUCAUGGGCUCUGGUCUGCCAUGCCUGUCCCCUAGGUUCUGAGUCAUUUCCUGUGAGAUUGUUCUAAAAGAAAAAAAAAAAAAAAAUAGACA